rnacentral:tRNA from 1 species
GGGUGAUUAGCUCAGUUGGUAGAGCAGCUGACUCUUAAUCAGCGGGUCGCAGGUUCGAAUCCUGCACCACCCAC